rnacentral:rRNA from 1 species
UACGAAGGGGGCUAGCGUUGUUCGGAAUUACUGGGCGUAAAGCGUGCGCAGGCGGCUAUCCAAGUCAGUGGUGAAAGCCCGGAGCUCAACUCCGGAAUUGCCAUUGAAACUGUUUAGCUUGAGUACGAGAGAGGUGAGUGGAAUACCCAGUGUAGAGGUGAAAUUCGUAGAUAGUUGGGUAGAACACCGGUGGCGAAGGCGGCUCACUGGCUCGUAACUGACGCUCAUGCACGACAGCGUGGGGAUCAAACAGG